CCUACGUGCGGCAGCAGUGGGGAAUCUUGCACAAUGGGCGAAACCCUGAUGCAGCGACGCCGCGUGCGUGAAGAAGUAAUUCGUUAUGUAAAGCUCUGUCAUCAGGGAAGAAAAUGACUGUACCUGAGUAUGAAGCCCCGGCUAACUACUUGCCAGCAGCCGCGGUAAUACGUAGGGGGCAAGCGUUAUCCGGAUUUACUGGGUGAAACGGGAGCGUAGACGGCUGUGCAAGUCUGGAGUGAAAGGCGGGGGGUCAACCCCCGGACUGCGCUGGAAACUGUACGGCUGGAGUGCAGGAGAGGUAAGUGGAAUUCCUAGUGUAGCGGUGAAAUGCGUAGAUAUUAGGAGGAACACCAGUGGCGAAGGCGGCUUACUGGACUGUAACUGACGUUGAGGCUCGAAAGCGUGGGGAGCAAACAGGAUUAGAUACCCGUGUAGUC
rnacentral:rRNA from 1 species